rnacentral:rRNA from 1 species
UGGCGGCAGGCCUAACACAUGCAAGUCGAGCGCGCCCUUCGGGGUGAGCGGCGGACGGGUUAGUAACGCGUGGGAAUAUGCCCAAAGGUACGGAAUAGCCUCUGGAAACGGAGAGUAAUACCGUAUGUGCCCUUCGGGGGAAAGAUUUAUCGCCUUUGGAUUAGCCCGCGUUAGAUUAGGUAGUUGGUGGGGUAAUGGCCUACCAAGCCUACGAUCUAUAGCUGGUUUUAGAGGAUGAUCAGCAACACUGGGACUGAGACACGGCCCAGACUCCUACGGGAGGCAGCAGUGGGGAAUCUUGGACAAUGGGGGCAACCCUGAUCCAGCCAUGCCGCGUGAGUGAUGAAGGCCUUAGGGUCGUAAAGCUCUUUCGCCUGUGAAGAUAAUGACGGUAGCAGGUAAAGAAACCCCGGCUAACUCCGUGCCAGCAGCCGCGGUAAUACGGAGGGGGUUAGCGUUGUUCGGAAUUACUGGGCGUAAAGCGCACGUAGGCGGAUCGGAAAGUUGGGGGUGAAAUCCCGGGGCUCAACCCCGGAACUGCCUCCAAAACUAUCGGUCUAGAGUUCGAGAGAGGUGAGUGGAAUUCCGAGUGUAGAGGUGAAAUUCGUAGAUAUUCGGAGGAACACCAGUGGCGAAGGCG